rnacentral:rRNA from 1 species
UACGGGGGGGGCAAGCGUUGUUCGGAAUUACUGGGCGUAAAGGGCCCGUAGGCGGCCAACUAAGUCGGAUGUGAAAUCCCCAGGCUCAACUUGGGAACUGCAUCCGAUACUGGAUGGCUUGAAUCCGGGAGAGGGAUGCAGAAUUCCAGGUGUAGCGGUGAAAUGCGUAGAUAUCUGGAGGAAUACCGGUGGCGAAGGCGGCAUCCUGGACCGGCAUUGACGCUGAUGAGCGAAAGCUAGGGGAGCAAACGGG